AAUGAACGUUGGCGGCGUGGAUUAGGCAUGCAAGUCGAGCGCGAUAUGUAGCAAUACAUGGAGAGCGGCGAAAGGGAGAGUAAUACGUAGGUAUCUACCCUCGGGUCUGGGAUAGCAGCGGGAAACUGCUGGUAAUACCAGAUAACGUCUCCGGACCAAAGGUGUGAUUCCACCUGAGGAGGAGCCUACGGCCUAUUAGCUAGUUGGUGGGGUAACGGCCUACCAAGGCAAAGAUGGGUAUGGGGUGUGAGAGCAUGUCCCCACUCACUGGGACUGAGACACUGCCCAGACACCUACGGGUGGCUGCAGUCGAGAAUCUUCGGCAAUGGGCGAAAGCCUGACCGAGCGACGCCGCGUGCGGGAUGAAGGCCUUCGGGUUGUAAACCGCUGUCGUAGUGGAGGAAAUGUAGGAGAGUUAUCUCUUUUACUUGACUAAUACUAGGAGGAAGGACCGGCUAAUCUCGUGCCAGCAGCCGCAGUAAUAC
rnacentral:rRNA from 1 species